GCCCGGGUGGUGGAAUUGGUAGACACGCAGGACUUAAAAUCCUGUGAUCAUUGCGAUCGUGCCGGUUCGACCCCGGCUCCGGGUACAA
rnacentral:tRNA from 1 species